GCCGGCGUGGCGCAGUGGUAACGCGUCGCACUUGUAUCACGUGAUAUUCUGCCCUUCGGCAUGCGAAGAUCCUCAGUUCAAUUCUGGGCGUCGGCA